CAGCUUUUGUGCUUGUCAGGUCUUUGAUUGAAAGACUGAAGCUCUGGUUUGCACACUACACCUCAUGUCCUGCUCUUAGUCCUAUUUGUAACCCUUGAAGCCCGGCUUUACAUCAUUCAGGAAGGAAGAAAUCAAGAAAACAUGUUGUUUGAUGUGCAUGUACAAAUCACUGUAUUACCUCACUAUCGUGCUUCUUUCCCUCAAACGGUUUCAAGGUGCAAAAAGCAUAUAGGUUUGCAUAUUAGGGAAGCAUAUUAGGGAACAAGUAUUGGGUCAGCCAUUCUGCUCUGCAACACAGCUUUUCGUUAUGACUGCCUUGUUCUGGGUAGUGUGACAGUCUCUGUUGUAAACAUAAUGGAAAGGGCUGCAGCUUUUCCUAGAACAGCAAUUGCUCAGACUUAGCAUUCUGUGCUGGUGUGAGAGUUCACACUAGGCCCAGCCUUGACAACACUUAAGCAGUGCUGUCAUCUGUGCUUCCCUUGGUUGUAUUCUGCCUGCCUUGGGUUCAUCUUAAGCAAGGUCUUUGUCUGGCUACAGUGUAAAAAGUAGAAUAAAAAUUGCUGAUUGUGGAGAGACAAGUGAUGUCUUUAUGAAAAAAAAAAAGUAAAAAAAAAAACAAACAAAAGGCUGGUGAGAGGUUGUGUAGGGAGUUGUCUGACUUACGUACUUGCAACUUGGAUCUCAUAGCUUAAUGCAUAUAUACCUAAAAUGGGCAAAAAGUGCUUAUAUUGGCCACAGAAUAGGACUGUAAGCAACGACUGGCUUGGUCACAGGAGUGGGGAGAUAUCCGGGCUUUUGCAUUGCCCUUUGCUCCUCCCUGUUUGGCUUUGCAUGAGCUUUUAGGCAAAAAAGUCCAGCAGGGGCUGAGCUGUAAACAUAGUCAGCCACAACUGCAAAUCUGUGGUGCUCUGCUGAAGGUCCUCAGACUGGACCAAUUCACAGCAGCGGGAGGAUCGAGCUUUCCAAAUCUGUGAUAGGACUGAAGCCUGCAUCCAGCCCUGUGGAGGAUGAGCCACCUCCACUUUUUUUUUUAUCUCUGAAGAUGUCCUGGGGCAGAGCUGGAGGCCAAGGCCCACCGGAGCCUGCUCGCAUCACCAUGCCUGCUGAGCAGGAGACCGGGCCGCGCUGCUCCCGCUAACCCCUGGCCACAGGCCCACUGGCUUCUGCGAUGGCCUCAGCAACAUCUGCUUCAUCCAUUAGCAUAGCACUCCUCUCCUGGCCUCCGGCCUGAGCCUUUGCUGCCAUUGAUUAGCAGCAAUUUCCUUCCCAAACCCGAAUGUUCGCCGGACGCCAGAUUGGAUUGCAGUCUGCCUGCCGUUGCAAAGCCACAGUGUGGGUGUGCAUGCACAGGAGUAUAAAUAGCACUGACUUGUUGCCCUCUGAGACGUUUCAGGAACUCUUCUGCUCUCGCUGAAGUUCGGAUUGCCUUCAGAUAUCUUCCCUUUGAGCUCAUGAGUAUAAACUUAUUUCGUGCCUCACCAGCUUUGACUCCUAAACCACGUUCUCGUGUUUGCAUGUUUCUCUCGUUCAACUUCAGCAGUUACAGCACCAGCCCCAAGAUGAAGAACAGUGACAUGAAACUGCAUCUGAGGCUGCAGUGCAGUGGCCCAAGCUGCCUCUGUUGUGUCAUUUCCUCCUCUUCUCCUGGUUGUCAGGAUUUGCAGUAGUGUUUCCAAAGGAGGUGACUCAGAAGCCGUACCUCCAUUUAGCAGCGCAUCAUGACAUGGAAGUGAACCAAAGCACUUAAGAACAUGAAGAAGAAGUGUAUAGCAAAGGAGGGAGGAUGGGGCUUAGGAUUGGAAAAUAAUUUGGGUCAGAAGAGCUGUCUGGAGGCCUCUAGUCCAGCCUUUGCUUGAUACCAGGCCGCCUGUGAAGCUGUAUCAUACCAAUGCCACUACGUUCUGCCUGCUAAUUGAAGUUGGGUGGGAUGGCUCUUCUGGUAGAUUACAAUGCUGAUUUUGAAGACCUGCUUAGAUAGGCCUGUGACCUCCAGGAUCAUUCUGAUUACAAAUGUGUCCACCACAAAGCUGCAGAAAGCUUGUGAUGAGGAAGGGAAAAAUGUUCUUGCAUGUCAAUGUCCUUCCAGGAAAAAAAAUGGAAACUGUAGUGUUUGGCUCACACAAGAGAGCAAACACAACAUCUCCCUGAGUGUCUAAAUUGCCAUCUGCAAUAGAGAGACAGGGUAAAGCUUGUUUACCAUGGCAGGCUUGAGGGUGAUGCAAUCUGUCAGAAUUAUAAAAUAUUCUUGGAACUGCUAAAUAUUAUAGAUGCUAAUUCCACUUCAGAAAGUAUCCUGGAGCAGAUGAAAUCUACUGAACAUCAACUUGACACAAAGUGAAAUGGCAUCAAUGUAGGAAUUAGCUCCUGCUUGGUCUCAGUUUCCUGGGACUUGCUCAAGGAUGAUUUACCAGUUGCUCCUAACUCUGUAAUCCAGUAAGGAAGGCUGCGCUGGUGAAAAAGACAAGUUGACAUAGAAGGGAAGUAAAACCCACUACUUAAAGCACAUGAAGCCUCACAACAGUCUGCAAGAGAUGGAAAUAGCAAAUGGAGAGCCAUGGAUGUGAAUGAGAUGUUAGAAGUUGUUAAUAACAAGGAAGCUAAAGGAAACAACAAGAAAUUUUUGGCCAGUGGCAUUAAAAACUGAAGAUAAAAGCCACCGUCCCCCCUGCUGCUUUCAGUCCUCCAUUGUCACCAUCUGAAAACCUGAGUCUUCAGGUUUGCAGGUGGAAGAGGCCAAGAGAACUGCUCUCACGGAAGUGACCAUCAUGCUUUAUCCAGCCUACACAAGCCUACAAGUUACAUGAGACCACAUCCUGAAGCAGGCCGAGCCCUCCCAGCUUCAAGCGCUUCCAUAUCACACAGAACACCAUUUCGUUGAGGAAAAACCCUCAACAGCACUUGAAAAGAAAGAGAAAAGAAAAUGACUUUAUUAUUUCCAUUGUGGUGGAAACAAGUAUUUGGUGUCUUCUUAAGGUGUGAGAGUUUGUGCGUCCGUGGCCAACUGCUCAAGUACUCCGAGCCUUUAUUCCUGCAUAUAAGCUGAUGUCCUGCUUAGAGUGGAGAUUUACAACCUGCUCACCAUGGGGGUUGCAUCAGUAAGACAUGUGUUCUCCUCGUUCUCAUACAUUAGCUUGUUUUGGGAGGGGAAAAUGGCUGCUCCCUUCAAAGAAAUCCCGGCUUUUGCUGAUGCUAUCUGGCAUUUUCACGGUGUCAUCAUUUUGCAACUCAUUUCGUGAUCCAGGGCAAAUGUGCGUCAGGGCACUGGGGUUUUGGUAUACCACAGACGUCAUCUGCUUCUCAACUGCCGCUAACUUGAGGAAGUUGUCAAAAAUACAAAGGGUUUCUCCUACAGAGGAAAACACAUGGCUUAGAAAGCAGUGGGAGCUGCCUGUUUUCCUUUUUGGGUGAAGAACAGGAAUUUUCAGAAUUUGGUCAGAAAGUGGUUUGGGCUGUGGGAGAAGUUGGACUUUGAUCCCAGGGAAAAUCAACUUUGAGAUAACAAGCUCUACAAAAACUCCCCAUUUAUUUGGUACAUUCAUUUGUUUUCAACUAUGUAUGUGCACAUAAUGUGAAUGUAACUAUAUAUAUAAAAUGUCUUCCAUCCUUUCCUCUUUGUGACCGUAGCAGGAGGAAGGGCCUUUACAGCAGCCACCAAAGGACUAAGACGUGUGACAGAGGGAACAGCGUGUUCUUCCAGAGCAUGAAGCUUGGCUCUGGUGCUCACUUCAGGUGGUUAUAUGCGUGGCAUAGAUGCCACGAAUGACUCACAGAUGACUGCAGUACUUAAAAUUUCCUACAAGGGGUUGAUCUGAGGUGAACAGAUAGAGGAAGGAGACAUUAUAUGUAGCUCUGUGGACUGGUUCUUCAAGGGUGAUGCAGAAGUCAUUUGCAUGUGAAGUUCUCCCUCUGGCAAAGCUUAGUUUUACAGCAAAAUAUUCUCAGGAAUUCUGUUAUAUUGUGAAAGCCAGAUGAGGGAGGCUGCCUGAAAGCAAUACAAGAUGGCCAGUGUAUCUGGCAAACUAGAAACUUCCUGAUGUAUGUGUGAACAUGACCAAAUACUAUCUAAUGUGCCAAACUGCUCUGAAAGCACAUUUGAAUCAGAAUUAAGUUCAUGCAUCUGGGCCAUCCUGCAGCUGCUUCUACAGGAACGUGUUUGGGUCUAUAGUAGCCUUACUUUCAAGCUUGACCUGUCUUCUGUUGCUUGUAUCUCUUUUGGAGAACUAGAAGACCUUCAAAAGAAACAGCUGUGGUUCUUAUAGUCAUCAGUAGUACUUCCAGCUUGUUUCAGAGAUGCAGCUUGCCCAUUCUCUUUCCGUGCUGCAAUUUGAAAGGUUGAAUGGACUCAAGACAUGCCAAAAUGAUGCACAUUUGGUAUCACUAAAAUUUUCAGCACUUACUGCUUGUCACCAUAAGCAGAGUUGUAACCACACAGGUGCUGCAUCAGAAGAGAGAAAAGCUGGAGCCAAUACUAGUGGAAUCAUUUGACCUGACCUCAAUGGCAAGGGGCAGCCCCAUGAUGUGAAGGCUGGAAGUUCCUGUGUCCAAGGGCAAAAGCUUUGGAAAACUCAGAGGGUAAAGUAGCCAUGCGUUUCUCGAGAUCUACAUUCACUUCUACUUUUAGUGGCUUGGACCAAACCUUAAUGUAAGCAACUGCUUUGGCAUGUUGCACUAAAAUUUUAUCUGGAUGGUGUCGCAAUGUCCUUUGAGCUGUGGGAGAAGACAGUGCUUGAAAUAUGCAUGUUUGAGCAAGUUCAACGCAGCUUGCUUUUGCUGGAGCCUGACUUUCUUUCCUGGACAAAGCCAGAGAUUUGUGGAGUCUAAUAAUGUGUCAGCAAACCAACUUGGCAUAUAGAAAUGAGAAGGGCGAGUCCCUGUUCCAGUUGCAUAAAAAUGUCAGUGUGUGUGGGGAGUAGAUGAAGGUAAAAUUAAGGCCUAGUUUAUUUUCUUUCCUUUAAAGUGUAUUGUGUUUCUUGCUGAUGAGAAUGAUUUCAUAAUUACAAGCAUAUGGUGAAAAUGUCUGGGUAUCGGUAGAGAGUUGAGAUCUGAACUCAGGUCUGGUCUAGACUAUAUUCCUGUGGUCGUACAGUAGGUAAAUCUUGUGGCACAAUUUCUUGACUUUUUAACACGAGAAGCACUGCCAGCAUGUGAUGACCCAGAUAGACCAUUGGUGAUCUCAGAGAACAUGGUCUAUUUGCUUUCUAGUUUUGCCGACAUGCUUGGGGUCAGCAUUUUGAGCCAUACCCCGUAGGCAUGUCCUAGACAUUUUCUUCUGACACCAAGGAGAAUUGAUGUAACUACUGGUUUUCAGGAAUGCAAGCUUUAAAACAAAUAAUCAGAAGUUAAAAAACUUGUUGUAAAACUGACAGUUCAUGUUUUACUUGUUAACGUUGUUCCAAAUGUAAAAUUGGAGUGUGCUUUAAAAUCGUUACAGUGCAGUUCCCCAUGAGGCAAAAUGCCUUCAGUCUGCUGGGAAUGACAAACAAUAAUGGCAGAAGGAAAGUCAACAGGGCUAAAAUUAAAAUACUUGUGUUUAUAAUUGCUUUUACCAAGUUCCUGGAAGGCCCCUGUUUCAGAUGCAGGAUCCUGUAGGGUUAGGUGAAAUAGAACAGAGCAUAAUCCCAGUCCCAGAAGGUUUUGAGCUAUGCAGGUCUCUUCCACUGACCAGACUUCCACUGACACACUUGGAGACCAUGUUACAGACAUAUCAUUUCUAAUUGAAAAAAAUAAUUUAUAGAUUUUUUUUUCAACAGCAAAUUAUAUUUCUUCCAUCUUGUUAAUGACUGUUGGAUGGACAAUGCAGAAGGAUCCCUUUUGCAGGACAAAAAGGCUACAAAAAUAAUAGAAAUGAACGUCUGCAGCUGAAGAGUUUGGCUGGGACUUGAAAAGUUUGCUUUGGGUACGAGCCAGGUCCUGCUGAGGUCUGCAGGAAUUUUGCUCUUGGCCUCAGUGGGACCAAGCUUUCACCCUUGGAGGCCAUGUCCUGAGGAAGAAUUUAGUCUGAAAUAGUUUUCAAAACUUGUAUUGUUUGACUCACAACCAAGCAUUUUGUUGAGACCGAGUGGCUUUGUAUUUCUGAUUGACUCAUGUUGCUCAUCUUAGCAUCCUGCAGCAGUGAUCUCUCAAGGAAAUCCAAGUGUGAGAGAGGAUUGCAUGUAAGGUUCCUAAACCAACAGCUUCUUGCAGGUCUUCCCAGGUGUCUGCUUAAGCUGUAUAUUUUUGGGAGGAGAUGUGCCUUGGAGCCCCAGCACAUCAGCACACUGCACUGAAGCUAUGGCUGUGACCUGUGGCAUGACUGGGAUAUGCCCAUCCAGACCCUGGUCAUCUUUGAUAGACCCAUCCCUCCAUUCUGCAUAUGAUUCUGUGAUUCAUGGUGAAACAAAUAUUUGAAGGAAGAACAGAGAACUAGUAAAGUGUUUUGAUUUAUACCUCACAUGUAUGCCCUUCCUUAUUACCCCCUUGGUCAUUUUUCCUGUAGACCUCAGAGACCACAUUGAAAAUAACCACUAUCAAAGUGAGGUUUGUGCCAUUCUUCUUCUUCUUCUGAUUAGAGCUAGGAUAACACAUUCAAAUAAUAAGUCUGAAGCUGGGCAUGGGUGGGACAACACUACUGUACUCUUAACACUGCAUGUUCUAGGCAGAUUUAACAUGCAGGUCUUGCAUUGUUGGACUGCACAAGUGUAGUAAUGUUGGAUUUUACUGCUCUAUAUCAACUUGUGAUGAAACGUGGUGACAUCAGCAGAGACAAAGGUCCAUUUCGUAUAAAGCUUGCAAAAACACCAAGUGCUUGUUUGGUCAUUCAGAACACAGAGCUGGGGAAAACAACUUGCUCAGUUCACAGCCCUGAAACCUCUGGAGAUGCGUGGCUGGGUUAUUUCCUUGAUAUUCUGUGAUAUUAUGACCUGUUCUAAUAGCACAGGAUCAUAGAACUGUAGGAGUUGGAAGGGAGGAUUAUUGAGUUCCAGCCCCUGCUAAAGCAGAUUCCAUACAGGAGGUUGCACAGAACAGCAUCCAGACCCAAAGAAGGAGACUCCACAACCUCUGUGAUCAGCCUGUCACAUUUAAGCAGUUUAUAGUUAUCAAGAUUUAAGAUUUUCCUCCCGAAGUCAAUUGGUUUCAUAGUAGACCCCAACAAAUCAGUAUUUUUGUUUUGCUGAAAUGGAGUGUGAUAUCAUUUUAAUGGCUCCUUUCUGAAAACCUUGAAAGCUGCUUAAGAAACAGAUUCACAGUGUAUGGGCUCGAAAACUAUCCCGUUCUGGUACACUUGAAGUUGUCGAGCACAGAGUGCAUAAUUUAGAAUUGAAAAGAAAAAGAUGUAUCUGUGAAUUAAGGACUGCAAUACAGGAGCUAUCAACCACCAAGAGGCUCUUUUAACCUCAGCAGAGCUGUGCUCUUUAAUGUGUUUUUGUGGGGAAGAAGAAUAAAAAGGAAAUCUGAGAAAACUGAUCUUUAUUUUUAGAAAAAUAAUUUCUUUUUGCUAAGGAGGACUUUUUAUUUUCUGUGCUCUAAAUAAAGCAGUGAUAUGGUCCUGUUGUGCCUCAGGCUAUCCGCUUAAAAGAAAAGGCUCCAAAGAUGGACCAUCUGGAAGCCUGUGCAAGAGCACGCCAGUGCUGUUUGAUGUGGAAGAGCAUCCUUUGGAUGUAUUUUUGAACACUGCUCAAUCCGCUGAAGUUUUUUUUUGUGUGUGUUGAGCUGAUGGGAACAUCUCAGAGGAUUUUGCUUCAUGUGUUAAUGCUGCUUGCUUCUUUUUUCAUUAAAUGAAAGCUGGGAAGCAGUGUUUCUCUCUAGAAGCACUUUCGAGAUCUGCAGGUGAUCACAACGCAAAGGGAGUCAGUUGCACAUUCUUGGCCAGAUCUGCUCUUUCCAGGGCACAACAAGAACUUCCUCCUCUUCCCAUUUUUUUCUGGGAUGCCUGGGAUCUCCUUGGUUCCUGCAAGGCCAAAAAAGUUCUCUGUUUUGUUGUUGUGGUGGUGUUUUUUUGUUCAGGACUUUGCCUGAUGUACUUUGUUUCAGUGCUGCAUCUGAGAUGAGGAGAAAUUCACCCCUGGUUCUGGGAUAAGGGGUUCACCCCCACCCCAUGCAGUGUUUCUCUGAGCUUAUGUUCUCAGAUGUUCAAGUCCCAUCCCUGCACAUACCGGUGCCCUUUUGGCUCAACCUGCACAUCUGACAGCCUAUGCACUUUGCCCUCCCAUUAAGAGGCUACUCGUGUAAGGAAUUAGGGUCUUGUAGUUACAAGCUUCUGCAGGGAAACAAAACCACUCUUUUCUUUAGAUGAAUGUUGGACAACUCUUUUUUGUUUGUUUGUUUUGAUGGAAACUUGUGAAAUAAGCAAGAUCAUCUCCACCUCCUAAAAGGAGCUCUCAGUGCUUCGUGCAGCCUCCAAGA
ensembl:lncRNA